rnacentral:tRNA from 1 species
GCCCCAGUGGCACAACAGUUAAGCUCUUAGCUGCUAAUUAAAAGGUUGGCGGUUCAAACCUGCCCAGUGGCU